rnacentral:lncRNA from 1 species
UAGCAAGUAAAUUUUCAAGUAUAUCAAUAUCAAACAUAUGACUUUUGCAUGACAAGCAUUCAUUAGGUUCAACAAUAGCAUUUGAGUCAGACAAUUUUACUUCUAAAGUACUGACUNUGUUUCUUAAUACAACUUCAUCAUCAAGUAGUUUAUCAUAUUUCAAUUUUAAAUCACUGUGCUCUUUUUUAAGUUUUUUAUGUGCAACAUCAAGUUUUUCAGAUUCAUUCAUUAAUUCAAAGAAAGCUUUUUGUAAAUCUAGUUCAUUUGAUUCAAUGCUGGAAUCACUUACUUGACUUCCAGUAUCUUCAAAAUCUGCCAUCAGACAAACGUUGGUUUCUUCAUCUGAAUCGCUUGAGCUUGUUAAGCUUGAGGCAUUGUCCUCCCAAGCUAUGUACGCCUUCUUUUUCUUUUGAAAUUUUCUUUCCUUCUUGUCAUCACUUUUCUUAAUCUUUGGACACUCAGAUUUUACGUGCCCUCUUUCUCCACAACCAAAACAUUUUACGUUUGAAGGAGAUUCUUGACUUUCU